rnacentral:rRNA from 1 species
CCUACGGGAGGCUGCAGUGGGGAAUAUUGGACAAUGGGCGAAAGCCUGAUCCAGCCAUGCCGCGUGUGUGAAGAAGGCCUUCGGGUUGUAAAGCACUUUCAGUGGGGAAGAAAGCCUUGGGGCUAAUACCCUCGAGGAAGGACAUCACCCACAGAAGAAGCACCGGCUAACUCCGUGCCAGCAGCCGCGGUAAUACGGAGGGUGCGAGCGUUAAUCGGAAUUACUGGGCGUAAAGCGCGCGUAGGCGGUCUGAUAAGCCGGUUGUGAAAGCCCCGGGCUCAACCUGGGAACGGCAUCCGGAACUGUCAGGCUAGAGUGCAGGAGAGGAAGGUAGAAUUCCCGGUGUAGCAGUGAAAUGCGUAGAGAUCGGGAGGAAUACCAGUGGCGAAGGCGGCCUUCUGGACUGACACUGACGCUGAGGUGCGAAAGCGUGGGUAGCAAACAGGAUUAGAUACCCGAGUAGUC